AAACAGACUCUAUUUCGUCGCAUAACUUGAACAAGGAUCCUUACUUCUCCCAUGCUUUUUUUAUGCCACUUUUCCAAGAAAACAAAUCGGAUUACUCUUCAAACUCUUCGUUUCCAUGUAGAUGUCAACUUUUGCUUCAUCUAAUCCUUAUAAAAGUGGUGCAUCAACCACAAUUUUGUAUCAAGACUUGCCGCAAGUUUCACGGUUCCUCUGCAAGUCCGGCUGCAAUCCCCUCCACUGUCUUUCGUUUUUCCAGCUAGUCGAAGUGGUGGCUUGAUUAGGACAAAUUUUGCUUUAUGUUUUUUUGUUUGUUUUUGAACUGAAGCUAUUGGCGCUAAUCAAUUAGACAUAACCAAAAGCUUCAUUUUGUUGGCAGCGAGGCCUCCAAAAUCUUUUCCUUGUCGCUGCAGUCUUUAGGCAUUUGUGGAGAAAACCAUCAUAUGUUGUCGUAGAAACAUCAAAAACACAAGCCGUCUGAUCCUCUUGACACUAUACUUCAAAUACUUCAACAUAUCAAAAAUUUGGGGCGAAAUUCCUUCUGUAGCUUCUCAGGCGAAGAGGUGCAUGAAGACUUCGUAUCCAUUGAGCUUUGGAGAAGAUGUACAUGGCAUUCCAAGUAACUGUGACGAAGUAGACGGAGCACCCUCUUCUUGCAGUUUGUCAUAGAAGGCUAGAUGAAGCGUUCCCUCCUUGAGUCUUGGUGAGAAAGAGGCUUGCGGCGACCGUAUUCCAUCCUUAACGAGCGAGCACGUGGCGCAUCUCAUCCUUGAAGAUUGGCUCGAAGAGGCUUGGAGUUGGAGCGACCAUAUUGUUCUUUGCAAGCGAGCAUAUGGUGCGUCUCACUUUCGCGGCUUGGCGAAAUUGACACUACUUGGAGCAGUCCUUUCCAGCCAUGACGAGUAAGCACUUGUCACAUCUCCGCAAAAUAUCCAUUCUUUGGCGUAGGCGCGAUGAAAUCACAAGCCGCUUCUUCCUAUUGCAUGCUCUCAUUAAAAAAUCAUAUCUCGACUCAGGAGUGUCGAAACUACAAUCCGCUUGAUUCUACAGAAUCAUAAAUUUCACCACAACAACAUAUUCAAAAUUUUAGGACAAGUCAGAAUAAAUUUUCGAAGGCGAUGCACAUGUCUGUCAUAGCGACCUCACAGCACUGUAUGCUGCCACUCUAAAGUAUAUAUCUCAAGCUAGAAACGUCCAAAUCACAAGCCGUCUGCGCCACUGGAAAGAACACUCAAAUAUAAGGAAAUCCUUAAAAUAUUGUGGAAGGAUUCUUAGCAGAUUAUCCGUAUAAAAUUUCUGAAAUUGACCCAUCUCUCUGCCGAGCUCAUUAUUCAGCUUUUUGUGCACUCGUGGAAAAAUUCAUAUCGCGAUCUACGAGUGUCAGAAUCGUAAUCCAUCUGUGCCAUUGGAAAGAAAAAUACAAUUUCUGCAACACUUGAAGAUGUCAUAGACGAACUCCUUUCGAAUUAACCGCAACAAUAGUUUGAAAUUGCUCCUAACGUCUAUUGCAUUUGCUUUUCAGACUUGCGCACUCUUGCUGAAAAGUUCCUACCCUGAGAUACAAGUCUCUGGAUAAUAAAUGAGAUAUCAUUGAACACUGAACAUUCAAGAGCUUCAACAUUUCCGAAUUUCAUGGUAAAACACUCUCUAGGUAGGCCGGUACAGUUUUUCAAAGUUUCUCCACACGUCUGCCCAGCUAACUUUUCAGCUCUGUGCGCCUUUGUCGAGAAAUUCAUAACUUGAGCUAGAAAUCUCCAAAGUGUGAUCCGUUUGAACCGUUAGAAGUUAAACUCAUAGAGCUGCAUCUCAUAUGAAUCUCAUUGCAGAAAUCCUAUUGGGCUGGAAACAGAAAAUUCUCAAAGUACGACCUAGCUGCAGUAAACAUUCAGAUUCGUGUGGUUCCGACAACAAAAAUCGUAUCUUGAGACUCGCAAAGAAGUUCAACGGGCUCAGAUAUCAGUCAGAGAUGUCAUACAAGAUGCGGAGCCGCCCCCUCACCAACUGUUGCACUUGAUUUGUUGAUAGUCUUGAAGUUCAUCAAUGGCGGAUCCCAUGGUGAUUGAAGGUUUUUCAAGAGAGACGACUUCUCAUAUAUGGGAUCUUCAACCAAUCUUGCACAAGAGAAGCAAAGUAUCAUGCUCAAGGCAUGUGGUCAAGAGAUCAUCACAACUACUGAAUGUGAUACACGUACAUCGCGGACAACGUAUUAAAAUGUGGAGACGUCAUAUGGACUUGGAAGAAGAAUUCAAUACGAGUCGGCAACAAAGCCUAGUUUACGAUCAUUUUCAUGACUUAGGCUUUUGUAUAGGAAAACGUCUAAUCUCUUUGGUCACUGUAUUUUUGGAUGUAUCAACUUUUGUAACA